GAGUAAUUAAUGACAGAAUAUUUGGGUGAACUAACCCUUUAAUAGUCUAAAUACAAAAUAGCACAUGGUGCGUACAUUUAUCAAUUUAUACAUGCAGUUUCUAUGACCUCAUUUUAAUUUCCACUACAUGAUAUUAUGCGUUUUAAAAAAAAAAAAAUCCACAUCGCAGUACAAUUUAAAAGUAUAGAUCAACCAAAAAUAAAAAUUACUGUCAUUAUUUACUCUUCACCAAAUCUUAUACUUAUUUUUUCUGAGGAACAAAAAAGAAGAAUGGCGAAAACAACAUUUUCAUACAUCCGUAUGUAAAAGUCCUAAAAUAAUUUUUGGGUGAUCUGUCCCUUUAAGAGAAUAGCAAAAACAAAAAACCGAAAAAAUAAACAAAAAGAAAACACACCUAAACGGUUAUUAAAAGUUAUUAAAAAUACACUCUCCUAUAUGUAUAGGAAUGUAACCUAAAAUCGUUAUUUUAAUUCGUUUAAUGAUUUGAGUGCAAAAAAAAAAAAAAAAAAAAAAAAAAAACACAACAAGGCCGCGCUGCUAAACUGCCAACGACUUUGUGUGAAAACUCCCGAUUUCACCGAAUGAUUUUCAGAGGAAUAUACUGCACUAAGGGGAGCAACACGUGGUAAUUCCUGCAUGCAUUCUCAGGGGAUUCUGGAAGUUGCCAUGGCCUGGCUGCAGUGGCAUGAACUCCCAUAGGAGGACUGAGAAAGAGAUGGAGGCGCUGUCCAAUAUAUGCAGGACACAAGCUGCUCUGGCUCUGUGCCCGACCGCCUGCCUUCCCACAUCUGCUCCCCAUCAGGCUGCUGCCGAGUCCACACAAACAGAGGCCUCUCAUCAAAACAGCAGGAUUACAGCCCUCGACCCCUGGCCGGCACUUCAAGAC